UAAGUUACUCAACAGUAUAGAGUGGAUGCCUAGACACCAAAUUUCGAAGAAGGACGUAGCUAGCAGCGAUAUGCUUCGGAGAGCCGCUAAGCAGGCUUUGACCCGAAGAUUUCCGAAUGGGGUAACCCCUCUGGAGUCAUGUCCAGAGAACCUAAUUUAUUAGGUGGAUCACCUGGGGAACUGAAACAUCUUAGUACCCAGGGAAAAGAAAUCAUAUGAGAUUCCCUUAGUAGUGGCGAGCGAAAAGGGAAUAGCCCAAACCGCGGGUUUCGACCUGUGGGGUUGUAGGACUCCAAUAUCCUCUCUUGCCUUGUUAGCCGAAGGAGCCUGGAAAGGCCAGCCACAGCGUGUAACAGCCACGUAGGCGAAAACAAGUAAGAGAAGUAGGAAGUUCCUGAGUAGGGUCGGACACGUGUAAUCCGGCCUGAAUCUGCGAGGACCACCUUGCAAGGCUAAAUAGAUUUGGUGAUCGAUAGCGAACUAGUACCGUGAGGGAAAGGUGAAAAGUAUCCCUGUUAGGGAGUUGAAAUAGUACCUGAAACUCUAUACUUACAAGGAGUCGGAGCCCUUCGGGGUGACGGCGUACUUUUUGUAGAACGGGCCAACGAGUUAGCUGUAUGGCGCUUGAUUAAGGGAGUAAUACCCGUAGUCGUAGUGAAAGCGAGGAUGAAUAAUCCGCCUUUGUGUCAUGCACUAAACCCGAAACCGAGUGAGCCACCCAUGGCCAGGCUGAAUCUAUCGUAACAGAUGGAGAAGGGCCGAACCCACCGUUAUUGCAAAAGCGGGGGAUGAGCUGUGGGUAGUGGAGAAAUUCCUAUCGAACUCGGAAAUAGCUGGUUCUCCUCGAAAUAGCUUUAGGGCUAGCCUUGUGCUAAUAGCGCGGGGGGUAGAGCUCUGUUUAGGCUAGGGGACGAAAUAAGUCUGCCAAACCUAGAUAAACUUCGAAUACCCGUGUGAAUUCCACAGGAGUCAGACAGUGACAGCUAAGUGCCAUUGUCAAAAGGGAAACAGCCCAGACUAUCAUCUAAGGUCCCUAAUAAAGUUUAAGUGGUAAAGGAUGUAAGAUUGCGUAUACAACCAGGAUGUUGGCUUAGAAGCAGCCAUCCAUUUAAAGAGUGCGUAAUAGCUCACUGGUCUAUGUGGUUUUGCGCCGAAAAUACAACGGGGCUUAAAGCUUUAACCGAAGAUAUAGAUGGCAUACCUAUGGUAUGUCGUGGUAGAGGAGCGUUCCUGUCAGCUGUGAAGUUGGAUUGUAAAGUCCAGUGGAGCGGCAGGAAGUGAAAAUGUUGGCAUGAGUAACGUAAGACCGAUGAAAAAUCGGUCCACCGUAAGUCCAAGGUUUCCCAAGCAACGUUAAUCGACUUGGGGUUAGUCGGUCCUAAGGCGAGGCUGAAGAGCGUAGUCGAUGGACAACAGGUUAAUAUUCCUGUACAACUUAUAUUUCGCCAGAGCAAUGUCGGAGCAAUAUAUUUCCCAUUUUUUGGGGACUUCGGUCUUUGAAAUUUGUGUUUUAUAGCGUGAAGACGGCGCUAGCUCAGGGGUAACUUGAUUGGAGGAUUGGGGCGUGUUAAUGAAUUCACGUACAAGCUGCAAGCUUAUGCUUUAAUUAGAAAAUCUGUUAGAGUUCGCGAACAGUUAUGUAAAAUGCUCGGGCUUGUCCUGGGUGAUUCCAAGUAUUCAAUCAACAAGAAAAACCUCGGUAGCGAGAAAUAUGGGUUACCGUACCGCAAACCAACGCUGGUGGACGGGUAGAGUAUACUAAGGUGAUCGAGUAAACCACGUUUAAGGAACUCGGCAAAAAAGCAGGAGUAACUUCGGGAUAAUCCUUGCCAACAAAUUUAUUUUCGAAUUUGUUUGUUGGCCGCAGCAAAAGUGUCCAUGCAACUGUUUAUCAAAAACACAGGUCUCUGCAAACUCGCAAGAGUAUGUAUAGGGGCUGACGCCUGCCCAGUGCCAGAAGGUUACGAGGAGAGGUUCACGCUUUGAAUCUAAGCCCUGGUGAACGGCGGCCGUAACUAUAACGGUCCUAAGGUAGCGAAAUUCCUUGUCAGGUAAGUUCUGACCCGCACGAAUGGCGUAAUGAUAUGGAAACUGUCUCAAACGUGGUCUCGGUGAAAUUGCAAAAACGGUAAAAAUGCCGUUUAAUUAUGGAAAGACGAAAAGACCCUGUGCAGCUUUACUAUAGCUUGACACUGGGUCGAGAUAUAUCUUGUGCAGGAUAGGUGGGAGACUAUGAGGCUGUCGCGUCAGCGGCAGAGGAGUCACCCUUGAGAUACCACCCUUGAUAUAUUUUGACUCUAACUUAGACUUGUUAAUCCAAGAUAAGGACACUGUUUGGUGGGUAGUUUAUCUGGGGCGGAUGCCUCCUAAAGAGUAACGGAGGCGCGCAAUGGUUCUCUAGCGCUGGAUGGAAAUCAGCGUGAUAGUGUAUUCGCAGAAGAGAGCUUAACUGCAAGACCUACAAGUCGAGCAGGUGCGAAAGCAGGUGAAAGUGAUCCGAUAGUGGCAUGUGGGUGCGCUAUCGCUCAACGGAUAAAAGUUACGCCGGGGAUAACAGGCUUAUAGAUUCCAAGAGUCCACAUCGACGAAUCUGUUUGGCACCUCGAUGUCGGCUCGUCGCAUCCUGGGGCUGGAGAAGGUCCCAAGGGUAUGGCUGUUCGCCAUUUAAAGCGGUACGCGAGCUGGGUUCAGAACGUCGUGAGACAGUUCGGUCUCUAUCUUCCAUAAUCGUUGGAAAUUUGAAGGAUGCUGCCCCUAGUACGAGAGGACCGGGGUGGACGAACCUCUGGUGUAUCUGUUGUCGUGUCUAACGGCAUUGCAGAGUAGCUAUGUUCGGCGUGGAUAACCGCUGAAAGCAUCUAAGUGGGAAGCCACUCCUAAGAUUAGAUUUCCCCAUGAGCCUCCAGGAAGACUACCUGGUUGAUAGGUUGCAGGUGUAAGUACAGUGAUGUACUUAGCCGAGCAAUACUAAUAGGCCAUUGAACUUAUU
rnacentral:rRNA from 1 species